rnacentral:rRNA from 1 species
GAUGAACGCUAGCGGGAGGCCUAACACAUGCAAGCCGAGCGGUAUUUGUUCUUCGGAACAGAGAGAGCGGCGCACGGGUGCGGAACACGUGUGCAACCUGCCUUUAUCUGGGGGAUAGCCUUUCGAAAGGAAGAUUAAUACCCCAUAAUAUAUUGAGUGGCAUCAUUUGAUAUUGAAAACUCCGGUGGAUAGAGAUGGGCACGCGCAAGAUUAGAUAGUUGGUGAGGUAACGGCUCACCAAGUCAAUGAUCUUUAGGGGGCCUGAGAGGGUGAUCCCCCACAUUGGUACUGAGACACGGACCAGACUCCUACGGGAGGCAGCAGUGAGGAAUAUUGGACAAUGGGUUAGCGCCUGAUCCAGCCAUCCCGCGUGAAGGACGACGGCCCUAUGGGUUGUAAACUUCUUUUGGAUAGGGAUAAACCUACUCUCGUGAGAGUAGCUGAAGGUACUAUACGAAUAAGCACCGGCUAACUCCGUG